GGAAACUUUUCGGCGGGACAGUACAGUAGUCUAGUAACGAACCUGGACUCGAUCUACUACUGAACUAGGAUAUUGUGCUGUGUAAAUAAUUUGCAUUGAGGAGAGUCCAUCAGCUCACUAACACGGGUGAGGGACAGGGACCAAAGAGGAGGCUCUACAGCAUGAGGAAAUACGGCGAUCCUCAAGCAGUCAGUCCAUGAGCCCACGUCUUCAGGCCAGGGGCCCGAGAGAAAUUUCCAGUGACAUGGAUCAACAGAGAUCCUCAAACAGUCAGUCCAUGUGCCACGUUCCAGCCAGCGACCAAAAGGGGGACUUUCGUCAUGGGGCCAGACAGACAUCCUCAAGCAAAAUAGAGAGAUGCAUCCAGGCCACCCACUAGGAGGUGGGAAAUCGUACGUAGAGGUGGCUGUACCUGGCAGCAGACUGAGAUGGGGUGAGGAAGAGAAGCACAGACCAAGAACGGAAUGUCAGACAUUUGCCCUUUUUUAUGCCCAGCACACACACACACACACACACACACACACACACACACACACACACACACACACACACACACACACACACACACACACACACACACACACCAGCAUAUAAACAUGCACAUAGACACAGGCGCACGUGCACACACAUACACAGACUCUCAAACAAGAUGAGUCUGGUGAUGUUGGCAAAUAAUCUGAAUCGAUACACACGGCAAUGAUUCCACCAUGGUGCCCCACCUACGCGAGUCCUGUCCUUCAGCAUUGACUUUCUCCCCAGGUGUGGUGUACCUUCAUCCGAACCACAAUGGCAUCCCAAGCAGCAACAAAUACCUGCACGCAUGCAUGCUACGGUACACACACAAACACACUGGACUGUGAACUAGGUCAGACACACACACAUGCUCAAAGUAGCCAAGAUCGAAAAGGCUGCAUCGGUGGCUUGACUGCAUCCAUUUUUUGGAGGAACACCUUUGUCAAUUUGGAGGAACUUUGUUGUGGGAAGAUAUUUUAAAAUGUUGAUAGUCAGACUCUUGUAUACCCAUUCGCUUCACUUUGAUGUAUUUUGUAAUUGAGAUGAUUUAUGCCACAGUGCUGAAUUAACACAUCAUGACAAAGAUGUCACCUUAAAAGGUAUGUUUGGUACCUGUGGGUCAAAUGUCUCAGGAGCUCCCUGACUGCAGAAUGUCUCAGGAAAGUACUCAACUUUUUAUAUUGUAUGCCGGGUGCGAUUUGUCAGAAAACCAGAAAGGGGGAUGUGUUUCAGAUGUCAACAAUAUCAAUGGAGUUACAUUAAACUAUGAUUAAAAUCAUGUGGAAAAAGUGACAAUAUCCAAACCAGAAGAGGGGACAAUCUCCCUACAAACCGCACCCUGAUUGUAUGUAUUUUACAUGUUUGUACAUGAUUAAUACAUGUUCACAGAAGAAAAUACAAUGUACGACUGCAAGGUCUUGUGCGUUUUUCUCACCGAUAUCUUAAAGGUUUAUGCGUUACAAUGUUUAAUGUUUAUUAUUUUGUUUAUUUUCUGAACGUUUUUUUUUAAUAACUCAAAUGGAUAUGUUAAGAAACGUGUUUAUCUUCUGGUUUGUUUUUUGGAAAAUGCCAUUUAAAACAUGAAGGGAUAUUUUAAGAAAGGCUGUGAGUUUUUAAAAAAAUGCAUUUUGAUCAUUUUGUUUUCUUGUUUAAAAUGUCAUACAUUUUCAAUUUCCAAAAUCUAUUGAAUGGAUGAAUGUUGUAGCCUACUAAAGAUAAUAAAUGGCCAAUUUGCAUGA